rnacentral:rRNA from 1 species
UACGUAGGGUGCGAGCGUUAAUCGGAAUUACUGGGCGUAAAGCGUGCGCAGGCGGUCUGUUAAGACCGAUGUGAAAUCCCCGGGCUUAACCUGGGAACUGCAUUGGUGACUGGCAGGCUUUGAGUGUGGCAGAGGGAGGUAGAAUUCCACGUGUAGCAGUGAAAUGCGUAGAGAUGUGGAGGAAUACCGAUGGCGAAGUCAGCCUCCUGGGCCAACACUGACGCUCAUGCACGAAAGCGUGGGGAGCAAACAGG